rnacentral:rRNA from 1 species
UACAGAGGGGGCAAGCGUUGUCCGGAUUUAUUGGGCGUAAAGAGCGUGUAGGCGGCCGCACAGGUCCGUUGUGAAAACUGGAGGCUUAACCUUCAGACGUCGAUGGAAACCGUGCGGCUAGAGUCCGGAAGAGGAGAAUGGAAUUCCUGGUGUAGCGGUGAAAUGCGCAGAUAUCAGGAAGAACACCCGUGGCUAAGGCGGUUCUCUAGUACGGUACUGACGCUGAGACGCGAAAGCGUGGGGAGCGAACAGG